AAAAAUAUAUUUUAAAGAAUUAAAUUUGUUUUUAACUCUUAAUUUUUAUUUAUAAUGCUCAUUUUUCGUAUUUUAAACAAAAAGUAAUUACAAACGUGAUAUUAUAAAACAAUACUUCUUUAUUUUACUGCAUUUUAAUACAGCUACGACAUUAGCUAACUAUAAAUCUUUAAAAAUUGUAUGGCGGCAUCCAGCUAAGGCUCUUGAGUUAAAACCGCCGACUAUGAAACAAUUAAAAAACGCAACUUUAUAGAUUCCAUCUUGUACUUCACUAAUCUAUAUGUUACGUCUAACUGGUCAUUCUAACAUAAAAAAUAAUGAAAGAAUCGACAAAAAAAAAAAAAAAAAGAAAGAAUUCAUGAUCAUGCAUAUACAUAAUAAUCAAAGACUAUAUAUAAUAUAUCAAUGUCUAUGCACAAAAAACAAUUUGGAAGAGCAUAUAUGAAAAAACGAAUGAUAACAAUAGAAUGACCAGCUUUCGUGUUUGGUUAUAAAAAGAACGAGAUAUCCCCCAAGAUAUACGCUUUAUAAAUUAAACUGAAUAUCAAUGUAAAUCGCUCCGUGGGCCAGCCGCGAAUCACAGCAACAUCAUCCGAACACAACGAGAUUGCGCGAGUCCCCGUCACCGCUUUUGUAUAUCACUUACCACGUGUGUUACAGUGUAUGGCAUUAAUUAAUCGUCGCCUGGAUAGUCUUUCUAAUCCAAAGAGAAAACAGCGAUCGAUGAUGAUGGACACUCCCUUUUCGAUUGGCUGUCGCAAACGACGCCAAGGCAUCGCCGAAGAGUUCUCAACGUCAGCCAGCUAGGCAAGCGAUAUCGUGCUGUUUGAAUCAAUUGUAAAAAAAAAAAAGGAAAAACAAAAAAAUUAAAAAAAUUAAAA